GUAAAAGUCGUAACAAGGUUUCCGUAGGUGAACCUGCGG
rnacentral:rRNA from 1 species